GAUGAACGCUGGCGGCGUGCCUAAUACAUGCAAGUCGAGCGAACGGACGAGAAGCUUGCUUCUCUGAUGUUAGCGGCGGACGGGUGAGUAACACGUGGAUAACCUACCUAUAAGACUGGGAUAACUUCGGGAAACCGGAGCUAAUACCGGAUGAUAUUUUGAACCGCAUGGUUCAAAAGUGAAAGACGGUCUUGCUGUCACUUAUAGAUGGAUCCGCGCUGCAUUAGCUAGUUGGUAAGGUAACGGCUUACCAAGGCAACGAUGCAUAGCCGACCUGAGAGGGUGAUCGGCCACACUGGAACUGAGACACGGUCCAGACUCCUACGGGAGGCAGCAGUAGGGAAUCUUCCGCAAUGGGCGAAAGCCUGACGGAGCAACGCCGCGUGAGUGAUGAAGGUCUUCGGAUCGUAAAACUCUGUUAUUAGGGAAGAACAUAUGUGUAAGUAACUGUGCACAUCUUGACGGUACCUAAUCAGAAAGCCACGGCUAACUACGUGCCAGCAGCCGCGGUAAUACGUAGGUGGCAAGCGUUAUCCGGAAUUAUAGGGCGUAAAGCGCGCGUAGGCGGUUUUUUAAGUCUGAUGUGAAAGCCCACGGCUCAACCGUGGAGGGUCAUUGGAAACUGGAAAACUUGAGUGCAGAAGAGGAAAGUGGAAUUCCAUGUGUAGCGGUGAAAUGCGCAGAGAUAUGGAGGAACACCAGUGGCGAAGGCGACUUUCUGGUCUGUAACUGACGCUGAUGUGCGAAAGCGUGGGGAUCAAACAGGAUUAGAUACCCUGGUAGUCCACGCCGUAAACGAUGAGUGCUAAGUGUUAGGGGGUUUCCGCCCCUUAGUGCUGCAGCUAACGCAUUAAGCACUCCGCCUGGGGAGUACGACCGCAAGGUUGAAACUCAAAGGAAUUGACGGGGACCCGCACAAGCGGUGGAGCAUGUGGUUUAAUUCGAAGCAACGCGAAGAACCUUACCAAAUCUUGACAUCCUUUGACAACUCUAGAGAUAGAGCCUUCCCCUUCGGGGGACAAAGUGACAGGUGGUGCAUGGUUGUCGUCAGCUCGUGUCGUGAGAUGUUGGGUUAAGUCCCGCAACGAGCGCAACCCUUAAGCUUAGUUGCCAUCAUUAAGUUGGGCACUCUAAGUUGACUGCCGGUGACAAACCGGAGGAAGGUGGGGAUGACGUCAAAUCAUCAUGCCCCUUAUGAUUUGGGCUACACACGUGCUACAAUGGACAAUACAAAGGGCAGCGAAACCGCGAGGUCAAGCAAAUCCCAUAAAGUUGUUCUCAGUUCGGAUUGUAGUCUGCAACUCGACUACAUGAAGCUGGAAUCGCUAGUAAUCGUAGAUCAGCAUGCUACGGUGAAUACGUUCCCGGGUCU
rnacentral:rRNA from 1 species